CAGUAGCCGCGGUAAGACAGAGGAUGCAAGCGUUAUCCGGAAUGAUUGGGCGUAAAGCGUCCGUAGGUGGCUUUUCAAGUCCGCCGUCAAAUCCCAGGGCUCAACCCUGGACAGGCGGUGGAAACUACCAAGCUAGAGUACGGUAGGGGCAGAGGGAAUUUCCGGUGGAGCGGUGAAAUGCGUUGAGAUCGGAAAGAACACCAACGGCGAAAGCACCCUGCUGGGCCGACACUGACACUGAGAGACGAAAGCUAGGGGAGCAAAUGGGAUUAGAUACCCCAGUAGUCCCUGUCUCUUAUAC
rnacentral:rRNA from 1 species